rnacentral:lncRNA from 1 species
UGUAUUAAACAUUAAAGAAAAAGAAAACCAAGAAAAUUGUAAUAGAAAAUUUUGGCCCAAGUCAACAAAACAAUAAAAAAAAACUACCCAAACCCAUUUACAAGGCCCAAACUAAACCUUAGCCCACUCAAAACAUUACAACAAAAAAAACCCUUGCCCCCAUCUGCCUUUAGCCGUCGCACGUCAGCAGACUGUCUUGCACACCGCUCCUCCGUGCAUGCCACCUCCACGUGCCUGGCGUUUCUCUGUCACCUGCAAAGCAAGAGGAACACGCAAGCAAGAAAAACAACGAAGAAAAAGACAAAAAAAAGCAGAAAACAAAAUGAAAAUGGACAAAAACUAAUCUUGUAUCUGGCCAUAAAGCCCGAAACUUCAUCUUUGUAAUUUUUUACGCACACAAAGAUCAGAAAAGAAAUAAAACGGAAGUUUUAAAAGGUUUUGCUUUGUUCUUUGUUCUUUUUUCUUUCUUUCAUUUUCUGUUUAUCUUUAUUUUUUAUGUUUAUUCAUUUAUUUCCUUCUUUUAAAAAAUCUAUUUUAAUAAAAAAGGCAUAGAUUUAAAAAAGAAGAAGGAAAAGGGCGUACCUGGGUUGCGCUCCACCGCCGUACCGAGCGGCCUUAUAGGCUGGAUGUGGAGGGGAGUUUUAAAAGGGAGAGGGAGAGAGCAAAAAAAAAAAAAAGAAAAGAAAGAACUCCCUGUUUUUUUUUUAAAAAGAAGUGCAGAAAUGAGGUUAAAAAAAAAUUGCUUUUAUAGAAGGCACAAAACGGUGCCAUUUUGCACCUAGGUCACCAGCGCCAAAACGGUGCCGUUUAAGGUGACCCGUGAGCGACCCGACCGGUACCCAGGGGGAUCUGCGUGUUUCCCAUUAUUGGGAUAUUUAUGCUGUAGGUCCUUCUGACUUUGUGCGUGUCACAGUUUGGUCCCUUCAUUCAUUUAUUUAUUUUUAUAAAUCUGGCCGCAUAAUUUUCUUCUGAUUUCAUUUGAGUCCCUACUGAAAUUAUGCGCAUAAAGGCUGGAAAUAUUUCCUGUCCAGUCCCUCGCCGUUUCAGCAUGAUUCAUUUCGGUCCUUGAUGGCCUUAUUUUCAUUAUUUACAGUUUUUACCUUAAAUUUUAAUUCUAUUUCAGCCUAAUCCUUAGUCUGUUUAAUUGAUUAUUUUAUUUAUUUUUCUAUUUAAAAAAAAGACUAUUAUUUAUUAUUCACUUUAAGUUUAUAUAUUAUUUAUUUCAAAUCAUUUUUUACAUAGUAUAUAUACCUAAACUAUUACUCAUUUUGAAUUCUACAUAUUUUAUUUAUUUCAAGCUAUAACACCUCAUUUAUUUU